GACGAACGCUGGCGGCGUGCUUAACACAUGCAAGUCGAGCGAGAAACCUUCGGGUUUCUAGCGGCGGACGGGUGAGUAACACGUGGGUAACCUGCCUCAAAGAGGGGGAUAGCCUUCCGAAAGGAAGAUUAAUACCGCAUAAUAUUACAGUUUCGCAUGAAGCAGUAAUUAAAGGAGUAAUACGCUUUGAGAUGGACCCGCGGCGCAUUAGCUAGUUGGAGAGGUAACGGCUCACCAAGGCAACGAUGCGUAGCCGACCUGAGGGGGUGAUCGGCCACAUUGGAACUGAGACACGGUCCAGACUCCUACGGGAGGCAGCAGUGGGGAAUAUUGCACAAUGGGCGAAAGCCUGAUGCAGCAACGCCGCGUGAGUGAUGAAGGUCUUCGGAUUGUAAAGCUCUGUCUUUUGGGACGAUAAUGACGGUACCAAAGGAGGAAGCCACGGCUAACUUCGUGCCAGCCGCCGCCGUAA
rnacentral:rRNA from 1 species